AGUCCUCAGAAAAGCUUGGAGAUCCCCUUCAGAGGUGCUGACUCAUUUCUCCUUCCUAUCUAAGCAUGUGUUGCCGGAGAAACCACGAAAAGAAAUUGGAUUACAGAAAAUAUGAAACUCAUCCUUGUUCAUGUAUGCAAUAACAAACAAAAGAGAAAGGUAUCCUGGGAGCCUUCAUCCAGUAGCUGAUGGAAACAGAAGCAGACAACAACAGCUAAACACUGAACUGAACUUCAGGAAUACAGUUGCAGAAAGGGAAGAGUCAUGAGCAAAGGGGUGAAGACCAGACUGCUGAAACACACAGACACAGUUGAUCUGAACCAUGGAGAUCUCUAGGCCCACAUAUUCAUCACUGGGAAACCAGCAUGGAACUCAUACAGGCACCAUGAAUCUGGGUGUCAGGUUAGGGGACUCAGGAAAUCUAUAGGGUCACUUGUAGUAGUUCAGUACUUUUCCCUAGCACAGGAAUGAACUUUCAGAGCCCUUUUCACAUAGAGGGAUACUCCCUCAGAAUUUUCACAAGGGUGAGGGCCUAUGGCCUAUCUGAGGGUCUAUGAGAGACCCUGGAGACUCCCUAUGGUUGGUUGUUUACUGUGAGGGGCAGGCAGGGGGGGAUGGAGAGGGAACUGGUGUUGAUAUGUUAAACAAUCAUGUAUCUCAUUUAAAUACAAAUGUGGAGAAAAAGGAAAUAAAAAACUUUCAUUUUUAAUUAGACUGAUAAUAGAGGGUGAUGGGGAUGUCCUUCAAUAUGCAGUGAAUAAGUGUUUCUCUCAUUGGUUAAUGUGAAAUACUGUUUAAAGCAAUGAACAGGCAGUAUGUCGACAGGCAGAAAAUGUCAUUUGGGCUAGCAGACUAGGAGGAUUUUGGGAGAGAAACACAGAGAGUGAAUCUCAUGACAAACACCAUGCUACUACUAGGAAGUCAGGAGGCUCAGGUACUCAAUUGUAAGCAAAGACCACAUGGAACUACACACAUUAAUGGAAAUGGGUUAUUAUCUAUGAGACCACUUGGCACAAAGAGGCAUGAGAAACUUCUGCAUACACCAUUCUGUUUGUGGAGUGACAAGUGAUUUUAUGUUUUGUAUGCAGAGAUGGCUCAGAAUCCCUGUUCUCAAGUUCACAUGAUCAUCAAUGUGUACUUUGGAUGUGGGAAGGGAAUAAGGGGGGGGCAGAGGCAAACAAAAGUCUGAAACAAUGGAGGAGUAGAGGUGGGUAAGAACAGUGAUGUCUGGAUAUAGAGAGGAAGUACAGCUAUGGAGAAAGGUCCAGCAUAAGGGGAAAUAUUAGGGGAUUCACAGGGAUGAACCUAUCUUAGAAUCCAAGAAGUGGUGGAGGAGAUGUCAUUGAUUCCCUUCUCUAAAAUGAAGUUGACGUCUGCCUUGGUUACAAUUCCUAGAGCUUCAUUCAGUAUCUGUUCUAAGCAAAAAUAGGUACCCACAGUUAAGCACUUAAACCUCCCCCUGGAAUCCAGUUUUGGAGAGGUAGGAGGGAUGAGUAAAGGAUCCCAGAUGGUAUUGCAAAAAACAGCAGAAACAGUUGACCAGACCCAGAGAUAGCAUGGGGACACUUGUCAUAAAACAGGGAACAGGACUGUAGGAAUCAAGCCCUCUAAAUGUGGGUGUCAGCUGGGAAGCCAAGAUACUCUAUGGGAACUCCAGCAGUAGAGGCAGUCUUCAACCCUAGAGCACAAAGGAACUCUGGGAGCUCAUUCCUUCUACAGAGGUACUACUACACACCAGAUGAAGCAAGGAAGGCCUAUGCCCUUCAGCAAAUAACAUGAAAGAGUCUGAAGGUCCCUGGUAAAGUGCCUCCCUUUCCCUUAGGAGUAUUUCAGAAUGGGUUGUGGGGCCUGGUAGGGAACAUGGGAGGAAGGGAGGGCCAGGGAAUGGGGGAUAGACAUUUACAUAUGAGUAGUAAUUAAAGAAUUUAAAUAAAGUCAUCAAAAAAGAAAAAGAAACUGUGUUGACCACAGGAGUCAUGAAUAACAGCAAUAUGCAAACUUCUAUUGAGGUGUUUGGCAUCCUGAGCCCACUUGGUGUGUUUUAUAUUAGAAACACACACACACACACACACACACACACACACACACACACACUCGAAUACAAUUAAAGCAGACGUUAAGGUGUCAAAACUAGUUUGAAAAACAGAUUGUUCAUUAGGAAUGUACUCAAGAGAUAGAGCGUCAUGUACUACCAGGUUGGUAAGAGAAAAGAGAGACCCGCAAAUGUGUGACACUCGUAUUAUUAGCCUUGCUACAUCAUUCUGAAAAUGUCCAAGCAUAUGUGGUCAGCAUCACCUGUGCAAGCCUCCUGAUGUUGGUGGGCAUGGACAGCCUCACAUGUGUCAGCCUUCAAAUUGGUGUGACAAGCAUUCCCCACUACAACAGACAAUGGGAAACAGAUUCUUUGUAACCACUCUUAGUGCUAAAAUAAUGCUACUGUUCUUGUGGUUAAAUUAUGAUGUAUACUAUGUCAUCAUUAAUUUUCUGUAUCUAAAUGCUUAUCUAUUAGAAAUUGCUUCAGAUGAAUAUACAUAAAUAAAUGAAACUCAUUAAAAUCAU